rnacentral:rRNA from 1 species
UGGGGAAUAUUGCACAAUGGGCGAAAGCCUGAUGCAGCAACGCCGCGUGAGUGAUGAAGGUCUUCGGAUUGUAAAGCUCUGUCUUUUGGGACGAUAAUGACGGUACCAAAGGAGGAAGCCACGGCUAACUACGUGCCAGCAGCCGCGGUAAUACGUAGGUGGCGAGCGUUGUCCGGAUUUACUGGGCGUAAAGGGUGCGUAGGCGGAUGUUUAAGUGAGAUGUGAAAUACCCGGGCUUAACUUGGGUGCUGCAUUUCAAACUGGAUAUCUAGAGUGCAGGAGAGGAGAAUGGAAUUCCUAGUGUAGCGGUGAAAAUGCGUAGAGAUUAGGAAGAACACCAGUGGCGAAGGCGAUUCUCUGGACUGUAACUGACGCUGAGGCACGAAAAGCGUGGGUAGCAAAACAGGAUUAGAUACCCUGGUAGUCCACGCCGUAAAACGAUGAGUACUAGGUGUAGGAGGUAUCGACCCCUUCUGUGCCGCAGUAAAACACAUUAAAGUACUCCGCCUGGGA